rnacentral:rRNA from 1 species
UCUGAUAGUCUUUGGCUGUCCGAGUUGUAANNGGAGAAGCGUCUUCCGCGCUGGACCGUGUAAAAGUCUCCUGGAACGGAGCGUCAUAGAGGGUGAGAAUCCCGUCUUUGACACGGACUACCAGUGCUUUGUGAUGCGCUCUCAAAGAGUCGAGUUGUUUGGGAAUGCAGCUCAAAAUGGGUGGUAAACUCCAUCUAAAGCUAAAUAUUGGCGAGAGACCGAUAGCGAACAAGUACCGUGAGGGAAAGAUGAAAAGCACUUUGGAAAGAGAGUUAAACAGUACGUGAAAUUGCUGAAAGGGAAACGCUUGAAGUCAGUCGCGUUUGCUAGGACUCAGCCUUGCCUCGGCUUGGUGCACUUCCUAGUAGACGGGCCAGCAUCACUUUUGGCUGCGGGAAAAAGGUCAGAGGAAUGUGGCACCUUCGGGUGUGUUAUAGCCUCUGGCUGUAUACCGUGGCUGGGAGUGAGGAUCUCAGCACGCCUCACGGCGGGGCUUCGGCCACCUUCGUGCUUAGGAUGCUGGCGUAAUGGCUUUAAACGACCCGUCUUGAAACACGGACCAAGGAGUCUAACAUGCCUGCGAGUGUUUGGGUGGAAAACCCGAGCGCGUAAUGAAAGUGAAAGUUGGGACCUCUGUCGUGGAGGGCACCGACGCCCGGACCAGAACUUCGGGGACGGAUCUGCGGUAGAGCAUGUAUGUUGGGACCCGAAAGAUGGUGAACUAUGCCUGAAUAGGGUGNNCCAGAGGAAACUCUGGUGGAGGCUCGUAG